rnacentral:rRNA from 1 species
GAUGAACGCUGGCGGCGUGCCUAAUACAUGCAAGUCGAGCGAAGCGGGGACGGGGGAGUAACACGUGGAUAACCUCCUAUAAGACUGGGAUAACUUCGGGAAACCGGAGCUAAACCGGAUACUUAGAGAUGGAGUCGAGCUGCAUUAGCUGGUUGGUAGGGUAACGGCUUACCAAGGCAACGAUGCAUAGCCGACCUGAGAGGGUGAUCGGCCACACUGGAACUGAGACACGGUCCAGACUCCUACGGGAGGCAGCAGGAGGGAAUCUUCCGCAAUGGGCGAAAGCCUGACGGAGCAACGCCGCGUGAGUGAUGAAGGUCUUCGGAUCGUAAAACUCUGUUAUUAGGGAAGCGGUACCUAAUCAGAAAGCCACGGCUAACUACGUGCCAGCCGCCGCGGUAAUUC